UCCCUGGUGACUCAGCUGGUGAAGUAUCCGCCUCCAAUGCAGGAGACCUGGGUUCAGUCCCUGGCUUGGGAA
rnacentral:tRNA from 1 species